GGAAUUCUGCAGCUCAUCUUAUGGGCUGUCUGGGCAGGGGUUACUCGCCAUCCAUCACGCUGGAAAUUAUGGGUGGUAGUGAUUGGUGGAGCUCUUGCUGCACUUCUUGAGAUAUAUGACUUUCCUCCCUAUAGAGGAUUUGUGGAUGCCCAUGCUCUAUGGCAUGCCACCACCAUUCCUCUGACCUACUUGUGGUGGAGCUUUGUGCGGGAUGACAGUGAAUUCAGGACAACAACUCUCAUCAAGAAAGCA
rnacentral:misc_RNA from 1 species